GUCGGUAUCGAUUAGGGGUUAAAUCACCUCGUUGUGGUUUUCAAUGAUCCCGAGGAGCCGUUGGUUCGAUUCCAGCUACCGACA